AGCAGCCGCGGUAAUUCCAGCUCCAAUAGCGUAUAUUAAAGUUGUUGCAGUUAAAAAGCUCGUAGUUGAAUUUCGGGGUUAGUAGAUUGGUCAUGCCUCUGGUAUGUACUGGUCUCACUGAUUCCUCCUUCCUGAUGAACCUUAAUGCCAUUAAUUUGGUGUUUUGGGGAAUUUGGACUGUUACUUUGAAAAAAUUAGAGUGUUUAAAGCAAGCUAACGCUUGAAUACAUUAGCAUGGAAUAAUGAAAUAGGACGUUCGAUCCUAUUUUGUUGGUUUCUAGGAUUGACGUAAUGAUUAAUAGGGAUAGUUGGGGGCAUUAGUAUUCAAUUGUCAGAGGUGAAAUUCUUGGAUUUAUUGAAGACUAACUACUGCGAAAGCAUUUGCCAAGGAUGUUUUCAUUAAUCAAGAACGAAAGUUAGGGGAUCGAAGACGAUCGGAUACCGUCGUAGUCUUAACCAUAAACUAUGCCGACUAGGGAUCGGAUGAUGUUAAUUUUUUAAUGACUCA
rnacentral:rRNA from 1 species